UUCACUGACCUGCAGCUCAUACGGGUGACUCGCCUGCAGUACCUGAACGCCCUCAUGGCGUCGCGGGCGGGCCAGAGCCCAGAUCCUCCAGAGAUCAAGAUCCUGCCCAACAGUCAGACGAAGCUGCUGAAUGAACGAAACACCACACCAGAGUUUCCUGUAAACUUUUCAUUCUUUGAUACCAUUGAGAACUACUUUUAGCGGGUUUUAUGCAUGAGGUAAAUCCAACCUAGCCCAGUCUCAGACUUACUCACAGGCUGACACAUUUACCUGCUCAUAAUAUCUGUCCCAGAGAGCCCCUCUA